rnacentral:rRNA from 1 species
UACGUAGGGGGCUAGCGUUGUCCGGAUUUAUUGGGCGUAAAGCGCGUGUAGGCGGCCAGGUAGGUCUGCUGUGAAAACUCGAGGCUCAACCUCGAGAUGUCGGCGGAAACCAUCUGGCUAGAGUCCGGAAGAGGAGAGUGGAAUUCCCGGUGUAGCGGUGAAAUGCGCAGAUAUCGGGAAGAACACCCGUGGCGAAGGCGACUUCCUGGCCUGUUCUUGACGCUGAGGCGCGAAAGCUAGGGGAGCAAACGGG